AACGAACGCUGGCGGCAUGCCUAACACAUGCAAGUCGAACGAGACCUUCGGGUCUAGUGGCGCACGGGUGCGUAACACGUGGGAACCUGCCCGUAGGUUCCGAAUAACUCCCCGUAAGGUGUCCUAAUACCGGAUAAUGUCUUCGGACCAAAGAUCUAUCGCCUUUGGAUGGGCCCGCGUUGGAUUAGCCAGUUGGUAGGGUAAAAGCCUACCAAGGCGAUGAUCCAUAGCUGGUCUGAUAGGAUGAUAAGCCACGCUGGGACUGAGACACGGCCCACACUCGGACGGGAGGCAGCAGUAGGGAAUAUUGGAGAAUGGGCGAAAGCCUGGUCCAGCAAUGCCGCGGGAGUGAUGAAGGCCUUAGGGUUGUAAAGCUCUUUUACCCGGGAUGAUAAUGACAGUACCGGGAGAAUAAGCACCGGCUAACUACGUG
rnacentral:rRNA from 1 species